AUUGAACGCUGGCGGCAUGCCUUACACAUGCAAGUCGAACGGUAACGCGGGGCAACCUGGCGACGAGUGGCGAACGGGUGAGUAAUAUAUCGGAACGUGCCCAGUAGUGGGGGAUAGCCCGGCGAAAGCCGGAUUAAUACCGCAUGAGACCUGAGGGUGAAAGCGGGGGAUCGCAAGACCUCGCGCUAUUGGAGCGGCCGAUAUCAGAUUAGGUAGUUGGUGGGGUAAAGGCCUACCAAGCCGACGAUCUGUAGCUGGUCUGAGAGGACGACCAGCCACACUGGGACUGAGACACGGCCCAGACUCCUACGGGAGGCAGCAGUGGGGGAAUUUUGGACAAUGGGCGCAAGCCUGAUCCAGCCAUGCCGCGUGCGGGAAGAAGGCC
rnacentral:rRNA from 1 species